GACGGUUUGAUUUUUGCAUCUGCAGCAAGUCAGAUUUUUACUACUGGGGAGCAUCAACCUUCUUCCCCCCAUGAUUGCUACUUUGUUGGCACAUGCUUUCUAGAAUGCUUUCCAUAAGUGGUCCGCAGCUGGGCCUGAAAGAAAUUCAUGACUGGAUGGCAAUGGAACACUAAAUAACCUGGCAACGGAUACCCUGUGGUCUACCAUUAUAAUUAUGUGUGCAUUUUGGAUCUAUUGGAUGUCUGAAUGUAAUGCUAAUCGACAUUUACUGAUGCAAAGAUUUUGCAGGGAUGUAGAUAUAUAUGGUGAUGUUUCACUACGAUCUAAGUGUUUCAGUUCAUAUUUAGCAGGAUCACAUUUUGACCAAUGACUCUUUGCUGCCAUGGUUGAUACCGCUCGGCGGCUGGAUCUACCAUGGAGUGGCUGCCAUGGGCCAACUAGAGCUGGGUGUCCCUGUUUCCGACCUCAAGGCGGAGGACUGAGCAAGAGGAGGAACUUCGUCGACCCAGCCGUGAGCAAAUGAUGCUCUGACGAGUCGAUCAGGACCGUCAUGGAGAUCUGCCCGCGGGGCCUCGCCAAGGAACCAACGCUGAGGCCGUUAGACGAGGACGUCCUCUGGAACCUGCAGUUUGCAGCCCUGGUGUAGGAUGAGUCCCCGCUCUCAUCAUCGCAGAUCAGUGCACAAUCCGCAGAGUACUAACCUCUAGGAAGGCUGAGAAAAAUAUUGGCAAGCAUUACCAUUAUGAUCCUCCCUUGAUCAUCAUUAUUGAAGGAAAACGUAUUAGAGAUGGUAUUUUCAAGCUAAAUGUACCAGCAGCCGAUGAUGGACCUUGUGAUGCAUAUAGUUUGCAUAUUUCUCUUCA